GAGUUUGAUCCUGGCUCAGAUUGAACGCUGGCGGCAUGCCUUACACAUGCAAGUCGAACGGCAGCACGGGAGCUUGCUCCUGGUGGCGAGUGGCGAACGGGUGAGUAAUGCAUCGGAACGUAUCCUGGAGUGGGGGAUAACGUAGCGAAAGUUACGCUAAUACCGCAUAUUCUGUGAGCAGGAAAGCGGGGGACCUUCGGGCCUCGCGCUCUUGGAGCGGCCGAUGUCGGAUUAGCUAGUUGGUGAGGUAAAGGCUCACCAAGGCGACGAUCCGUAGCAGGUCUGAGAGGAUGAUCUGCCACACUGGAACUGAGACACGGUCCAGACUCCUACGGGAGGCAGCAGUGGGGAAUUUUGGACAAUGGGGGCAACCCUGAUCCAGCCAUGCCGCGUGAGUGAAGAAGGCCUCGGUUGUAAGUACGUCUUCGUCGUAGGGAGAAAGU
rnacentral:rRNA from 1 species